rnacentral:rRNA from 1 species
UGGGGAAUAUUGCACAAUGGGCGAAAGCCUGAUGCAGCGACGCCGCGUGAGGGAUGACGGCCUUCGGGUUGUAAACCUCUUUCAGUAGGGAAGAAGCUUUCGGGUGACGGUACCUGCAGAAGAAGCGCCGGCUAACUACGUGCCAGCAGCCGCGGUAAUACGUAGGGCGCAAGCGUUGUCCGGAAUUAUUGGGCGUAAAGAGCUCGUAGGCGGUUUGUCGCGUCUGCCGUGAAAUCCUUCGGCUUAACUGGAGGCUUGCGGUGGGUACGGACAGACUAGAGUGUGGUAGGGGAGACUGGAAUUCCUGGUGUAGCGGUGGAAUGCGCAGAUAUCAGGAGGAACACCGGUGGCGAAGGCGGGUCUCUGGGCCACUACUGACGCUGAGGAGCGAAAGCAUGGGGAGCGAACAGG